AUGAGGAGCUCCGUCCUAAAGAAGUUUCACCAGAUAUUCUUGUUCCCAGGCCGGAAUGAGAAGGAUUAUGAAGAUCCAGAUGAGGACCCGACAAUGAAGAAGAUAAACAAACACGCCAUGACCAAGUUUAGCGAUGCGUUGGCCGCCUGGAAAAAUCGAGUGAAAGCAAAGAUCAUCGACAAGAAGGAACCCUACUCCGAGAUUGUAAAGGAUAAUCCGACAAUCACGGAAGAGCAGUUUCAAAUAUUCAAGGAGGGUUGCGAGGCCGAAGCUGCCAAAAAAAAGUCUAAGUACAUGAAGGGGCUUCAAGAGAGGAACAUUGGGAGCCACCACCUCGGAAGCCGUGGUUACGGCGGAAAGACGUCCAAAUGGGCCAAGGAGGACGCGGAAGCCGCGAGUCGGCAUCCCAGACCCCUUGGCGGAUUUCACCGUCCCGCAGGAGCGUGA
rnacentral:rRNA from 1 species